rnacentral:rRNA from 1 species
AACGAACGCUGGCGGCAUGCCUAACACAUGCAAGUCGAACGAGACCUUCGGGUCUAGUGGCGCACGGGUGCGUAACGCGUGGGAAUCUGCCCUUGGGUUCGGAAUAACAGUUAGAAAUGACUGCUAAUACCGGAUGAUGUCUUCGGACCAAAGAUUUAUCGCCCAGGGAUGAGCCCGCGUAGGAUUAGCUAGUUGGUGGGGUAAAGGCCCACCAAGGCGACGAUCCUUAGCUGGUCUGAGAGGAUGAUCAGCCACACUGGGACUGAGACACGGCCCAGACUCCUACGGGAGGCAGCAGUGGGGAAUAUUGGACAAUGGGCGAAAGCCUGAUCCAGCAAUGCCGCGUGAGUGAUGAAGGCCUUAGGGUUGUAAAGCUCUUUUACCCGGGAUGAUAAUGACAGUACCGGGAGAAUAAGCCCCGGCUAACUCCGUGCCAGCAGCCGCAGUAACAC